AACGCACAUUGCGCCCGCCAGUAUUCUGGCGGGCAUGCCUGUUCGAGCGUCAUUUCAACCCUCAAGCCCUCGGGUUUGGUGUUGGGGAUCGGGCUGUACUCCAGCCCGCCCCCGAAAUCUAGUGGCGGUCUCGCUGCAGCCUCCAUUGCGUAGUAGCUAACACCUCGCAACUGGAACGCGGCGCGGCCAUGCCGUUAAACCCCCAACUUCUGAAUGUUGACCUCGGAUCAGGUAGGAAUACCCGCUGAACUUAA
rnacentral:misc_RNA from 2 species